UACGAAGGGGGCUAGCGUUGCUCGGAAUCACUGGGCGUAAAGGGUGCGUAGGCGGGUCUUUAAGUCAGGGGUGAAAUCCUGGAGCUCAACUCCAGAACUGCCUUUGAUACUGAAGAUCUUGAGUUCGGGAGAGGUGAGUGGAACUGCGAGUGUAGAGGUGAAAUUCGUAGAUAUUCGCAAGAACACCAGUGGCGAAGGCGGCUCUCUGGACCGGUUCUGACGCUCAGGCGCGAAAGCGUGGGGAGCGAUCCGG
rnacentral:rRNA from 1 species